UCCAGACUCCUACGGGAGGCAGCAGUGGGGAAUAUUGCACAAUGGGCGCAAGCCUGAUGCAGCCAUGCCGCGUGUAUGAAGAAGGCCUUCGGGUUGUAAAGUACUUUCAGCGGGGAGGAAGGGAGUAAAGUUAAUACCUUUGCUCAUUGACGUUACCCGCAGAAGAAGCACCGGCUAACUCCGUGCCAGCAGCCGCGGUAAUACGGAGGAUGCGAGCGUUAUCCGGAUUUAUUGGGUUUAAAGGGUGCGUAGGCGGGAUGCCAAGUCAGCGGUAAAAAUGCGGUGCUCAACGCCGUCGAGCCGUUGAAACUGGCGUUCUUGAGUGGGCGAGAAGUAUGCGGAAUGCGUGGUGUAGCGGUGAAAUGCAUAGAUAUCACGCAGAACUCCGAUUGCGAAGGCAACAUACCGGCGCCCUACUGACGCUGAGGCACGAAAGCGUGGGUAUCGAACAGGAUUAGAUACCCUCGUACCA
rnacentral:rRNA from 1 species